rnacentral:rRNA from 1 species
GACGAACGCUGGCGGCGUGCUUAACACAUGCAAGUCGAACGGAAAGGCCCUGCUUUUGGGUGGUUCUCGAGUGGCGAACGGGUGAGUAACACGUGAGUAACCUGCCCUUGACUUUGGGAUAACUUCAGGAAACUGGGGCUAAUACCGGAUAGGAGCUCCUGAUGCAUGGUGGGGGUUGGAAAGUUUCGGCGGUUGGGGAUGGACUCGCGGUUUAUCAGCUUGUUGGUGGGGUAGUGGCUUACCAAGGCUUUGACGGGUAGCCGGCCUGAGAGGGUGACCGGCCACAAUGGGACUGAGAUACGGCCCAGACUCCUACGGGAGGCAGCAGUGGGGAAUAUUGCACAAUGGGCGGAAGCCUGAUGCAGCAACGCCGCGUGCGGGAUGAAGGCCUUCGGGUUGUAAACCGCUUUCGCCUGUGACGAAGCGUGAGUGACGGUAAUGGGUAAAGAAGCACCGGCUAACUACGUG